UGGGGAAUAUUGGACAAUGGGCGCAAGCCUGAUCCAGCCAUGCCGCGUGAGUGAUGAAGGCCCUAGGGUUGUAAAGCUCUUUUGGCGGGGAAGAUAAUGACGGUACCCGCAGAAUAAGCCCCGGCUAACUUCGUGCCAGCAGCCGCGGUAAUACGAAGGGGGCUAGCGUUGCUCGGAAUCACUGGGCGUAAAGCGCACGUAGGCGGAUUCUUAAGUCAGAGGUGAAAGCCUGGAGCUCAACUCCAGAACUGCCUUUGAUACUGGGAGUCUCGAGUUCGGGAGAGGUGAGUGGAACUGCGAGUGUAGAUGUGAAAUUCGUAGAUAUUCGCAAGAACACCAGUGGCGAAGGCGGCUCACUGGCCCGAUACUGACACUCAGACGCGAAAGCUAGGGUAGCAAACG
rnacentral:rRNA from 1 species